rnacentral:rRNA from 1 species
GACGAACGGCUGGCGGCGUGCUUAACACAUGCAAGUCGAACGGGAGUAUUGAAGAAGCUUGCUUUAGAGAUACUUUAGUGGCGGACGGGUGAGUAACGCGUGAGGAGCUGUCCAAUGCAGGGGGACAACAGUUGGAAACGACUGCUAAUACCCCAUAAGCCGAGAGGUAAAAGGAUUUAUCCGGCAAUGGAGGUACUCGCGUCCUAUCAGCUAGUAGGUGAGGUAACGGCUCACCUAGGCGAAGACGGGUAGCCGGCCUGAGAGGGCGAACGGCCACACUGGAACUGAGAUACGGUCCAGACUCCUACGGGAGGCAGCAGUGGGGAAUAUUGGGCAAUGGGGGGAACCCUGACCCAGCGACGCCGCGUGGGUGAAGAAAUCCUUCGGGAUGUAAAGCCCUGUUGUAUGGGAAGAGCGGAAGACGGUACCAUACGAGGAAGCCCCGGCAAACUACGUG